GAUUUCGUCCGCCGAAGGCGGGUUGCAUAAUGUCAUCAGGAGUUUGCUGGCGGGGUUUGAGGUGGCGGUGCGUCCGGGGGCCAGCCGGACUGAUGGAGUUGCGGAACUAAAGCGGUAACUCGUUGUUGCGGAUGCAAACAUCACGCUGAUUAACAGGCGACUUGAUGAGUCGCAAGAUAGUGCCGCUGCUGUGGAGAGCCUUCGGACCGAACUUGCACAAGCCAAGGAGCAGGCUAGAA